CAGGGGGAAGGACUUCUGCUCUGUGAAUCCAGGCACUGUCAAGAGGACAGUCAAGAAACAGAAGUGACACUUAACUUAUCAGAGCUCCAUCUCUGUUUCCAAAGAGAUAAUGCCCAACUGGAGUAUUUGCAUUGGAUCUGUGCCCUGGCUCCGGAGUUACAUAAGCAGGGCAGGCAGAGAUGCAAGUCACUGACAGCAGAGAAGGAAACUCCUUUUCACGGAUGGGAUUACUCCAGAAAACCAAAACAUCAAAAGCUGACCUGUGCCAAAAUGGAGGGAAAGACAGAUUCGGGACAGAGCAUUCCUCUGAUGGCACGGCACGUCGCUGUGAGCACACGUCCUGAGGUUGCAGCUUGAAACACGUGCAAGUAGGUGAGGAAAGGCAGGGUCAAAGCCGCCACAGCAAAGCCAGCAGAGGAGAUGAGAGCAGUGACCAGCCACAUGGAUCUGCCACCUAGAAAUAACAGAAGCAGCAAAACCUGUCAGAGAGACUGUGAGGACAAACCAUGCG